rnacentral:rRNA from 1 species
GAUGAACGCUGGCGGCGUGCCUAAUACAUGCAAGUCGAGCGAACAGACGAGGAGCUUGCUCCUCUGACGUUAGCGGCGGACGGGUGGGUAACACGUGGAUAACCUACCUAUAAGACUGGGAUAACUUCGGGAAACCGGAGCUAAUACCGGAUAAUAUAUUGAACCGCAUGGGUCAAUAGUGAAAGACGGUUUUGCUGUCACUUAUAGAUGGAUCCGCGCCGCAUUAGCUAGUUGGGAAGGUAACGGCUUACCAAGGCAACGAUGCGUAGCCGACCUGAGAGGGUGAUCGGCCACACUGGAACUGAGACAGGGUCCAGACUCCUACGGGAGGCAGCAGUAGGGAAUCUUCCGCAAUGGGCGAAAGCGUGACGGAGCAACGCCGCGUGAGUGAUGAAGGUCUUCGGAUCGUAAAACUCUGUUAUUAGGGAAGAACAAAUGUGUAAGUAACUAUGCACGUCUUGACGGUACCUAAUCAGAAAGCCACGGCUAACUACGUG